CAGGUGAAAUCCCAUCCAAGCGUGGCUGGCUCCCAGCUCUUGAGUUCAGCUUUCUCUACGGUGGGCUUCCUGGUCAGGACCCCCAGCAUCUCCUUCCCAAGGUCUCUUCUGCGUCAGAACCCAGCAUCUCCCGCCGACUGUGAGCCCCCCGCUUCCCCCCUGCCUUCCUGGCCUGGCCCCCCUCCCCCACUAAGCCAGUGCUAUCCUCCUAAUCACUGGACAGCCUCUGACCCUGGAUGUGACCUGAUGUGAAAGGAAGAGGAGUGGACAGAGUGUUUUGCCGCAUGGAGCAAUCAAGCCUAGGCAUUGGGAGGACAUGCAUCUGACGA